rnacentral:lncRNA from 10 species
UGGGGAGAAGGCAGAGGCUUCUUGUUCAUGCCACAGUCUGGGUUGCCUCACUUUCCUGUGUGGCUUCCAGUUUUGACAUUAUCUAAAUAACUAAUUCCUCAUCUAGCAUUUAUUUAUUUUAAGAGAAAUCUCUGUGCUUUUUUGUUUAAUUUUAGAAAUUGGUUGUUUACUGAUACACUUUGGGGGAAAAUCUGGAAAUGAUUUUGAACCAGUAUGUGUGUUGAGGAGGUGUUGGCUACCUGCCUGGCAAAAGAUAAUUGGAAGUGGCAGUGAGUUAUUAUUGAAGUGGCCAUGCCAUUCUGGUGAGGAGUUCUUUUCUGUCACCACCAUGAAAAUAUCAUUCUACUGGCUUUUUGCUAAGAAGUCUGCUGUUAAUCUCAGAGACUUUUUCAAAAAUGCAUUUUUUCCAUGACUUGCUUUUGAGAUCUUUGUUUUUCUUCAGUGGUCUACAGCUUUACUACAAUAUUUGAAGCUUUUUGCUGUGUGAAUGCCCUAAUGCCAAUGAAGGUCUGUGAAGCCUUUAACCUUUUGGACAUCACAACUUCUUCUAAGCAAAAAGAAAACAAAAAAUUAUUUGGUCUCCUGUGAAUCAUGCAGAGAUUUUAUGCCAGAAGAACACAGACAGCAGGAAGACAUUAUUCCUGGGCCAAGUACCAUUCUGAGUGUUUCUCUUUGUUUCCUGGUAACAAAGCUGAGCCAAAUGAGGCACAGAAGUCAUACACAAAAUACUGAAAUAUCUUUUUCUUCAGUAAACAAGGACUAAAAUUGAAGAAAUAACCUCCACAAAGUCUCAAUAUUCCCUACUGUUAGACUUUCUAUCUGGAAUAAUAUCUGGCCUUCUCGGUUUACACAUGCAAUCAAAAGUAGGAGAUACUUGUUUUACUAAGGUGGGCAAAAAGGUAUGCUCAAUGGACUAGAUAUUGUUUUCAUUGUGAAGUUUAAGCAUCCAUUAUGGAACUUCUAAAGGUGCUAUGUCUUCUUUUCAGUCUUUUCUACAAUAUAUUCUCUAUUCAAGGCUCAAGAUUAUUCCCAGAAGCAUUAAUGAGACAGAAUAUGAGUGUUCAUUUGUAAGAAACAGUCAUGCAAAAAAA